rnacentral:lncRNA from 1 species
AUUUGUAUAAAUAUACAAUGCUCUUUUUGAAGCCUCCUGGGAUGAUAUUGGAAGGAACUCGAGCGGAAGGCCGCCGGACAUGGAAGAAAUGAGCCCAAGCCCAAUGUAACUUUUCUCUCUCUGAAGCAAUGCCUAUUUAUUGCUUUUGUGUUGGUACUUUCAGUUCUUUGAGAUUCUUAUGUGUGCAAAAACAUCGGUGAUGUGGCAGAGAAGGUGAAGUGUAGCAGCAACGUGAAAGUAUGUACAUAACAAUUUGCCUAACAAAUGAGAAUGUCUAGGAACUGAAAAGAGUUCUAACAUUUUGCUUUAUGUCCAUUGCACUACAUACGAGAAUAAAGAUGCAUUUGGUUACAAAUACUCUUCUGAUUACUAUGUGUAAAAGUAAUUGUUGGUUAUACUAAAAAUAUGAGCUAAUUUCUUCGUUAUCUACUCACCCAUGGUAGUGUAGGUUCGUGUUCUUGGAUUUUGUUUCAUUGUUUUUCUUUUUACCUUUUGGUGAGCCGGUGAGCUAAUUUGCUAUUUUCCUCUUGGUCUAUUGCAGCAAUUGGAUGCUUCAGUGGAUUUGAAUGGGGUUCAUUGUAGGCGAGUGCUUGAAUUUGCGGCCUCACAGGCAUCAUUAGCUUCCCUUAUCCCACACAAGUAUUCUUCCUGAGAACUAUGCUUAGAUAGCUGAAUGUAUUAUUGUGAACUACUAAACCUUUGCACUUUUGUUGUAACAUACUGAACAUUUGCACCAUUGCUUUUCAUUGUAUAAAUGUAUGAAAUAAAAAAAUGUCUC